GAAGUUAGCGGCGGACGGGUGAGUAACACGUGGGUAACCUGCCCAUAAGACUGGGAUAACUCCGGGAAACCGGGGCUAAUACCGGAUAACAUUUUGAACCGCAUGGUUCGAAAUUGAAAGGCGGCUUCGGCUGUCACUUAUGGAUGGACCCGCGUCGCAUUAGCUAGUUGGUGAGGUAACGGCUCACCAAGGCAACGAUGCGUAGCCGACCUGAGAGGGUGAUCGGCCACACUGGGACUGAGACACGGCCCAGACUCCUACGGGAGGCAGCAGUAGGGAAUCUUCCGCAAUGGACGAAAGUCUGACGGAGCAACGCCGCGUGAGUGAUGAAGGCUUUCGGGUCGUAAAACUCUGUUGUUAGGGAAGAACAAGUGCUAGUUGAAUAAGCUGGCACCUUGACGGUACCUAACCAGAAAGCCACGGCUAACUACGUGCCAGCAGCCGCGGUAAUACGUAGGUGGCAAGCGUUAUCCGGAAUUAUUGGGCGUAAAGCGCGCGCAGGUGGUUUCUUAAGUCUGAUGUGAAAGCCCACGGCUCAACCGUGGAGGGUCAUUGGAAACUGGGAGACUUGAGUGCAGAAGAGGAAAGUGGAAUUCCAUGUGUAGCGGUGAAAUGCGUAGAGAUAUGGAGGAACACCAGUGGCGAAGGCGACUUUCUGGUCUGUAACUGACA
rnacentral:rRNA from 29 species